GAGAGGUCCAGGGCUCGCUGCUGAGAGCCAAGCCUGUUCUCCGCUCGGCAGGUGUAGCGCCCUGAAUCCCCAGCCUUCACCCCGGGCAGCUCCAGCCCCAGGGGUCUGGGGCCCCAGGGAUGGGACGAGGAGAGGACUCUAUCCUGCAGGACCCAGCUCAGUGUGGCAGGGGGCUGGCUGUCAGCAGCACAGAGGAGCCGCAGGAACUGGCCUUUCUGGGCUUCCAGGGCUGCGGCGGCAUCCUGGGACCCCACAGCUUCCUCUCCCUGGAUGCUCCUGAGCUGGGAGCCACUCACUGCCCCUCUGGGCUCCUCCCACCACCUACCCACCGGGUCUGUCUGAAUGCCCCACCCUCCCAGGCCAUGCUCACAGGCCACGCGGAGUCGGACCGUCCUCUGUGCGCUCACACCCUUUCUGGAGAAGUCCACAUGGCAGCUUCCUCUCUCCACCCGAAAGAAGUACUGUGACUCAUCCUGCAUCUGCGCAUCUCUGAUCACCAAGGAGCAGUUCCCCUUGGCAGGAUCCCCAGUGAGCUGGAAUCGGCCCCGGGUGCUCAUUUCCACCUCUCGAUUCUGGUGGUUUGUCGCCACUGGAGCACCCUUGCUUGUCUCAGUCACUGCUUUGAACCAGUAGCCAUAAGCUGGGGUAGACUCUGUCCAGUCCUUUCGGGGGUAGGAGAAAGAGCAGGGCACAGAGAUGCACAGGCCCUCCGGCACCAUCACCGACUCC
rnacentral:antisense_RNA from 1 species